rnacentral:rRNA from 1 species
AAAGCAGGGGAUCGUAAGACCUUGNGCUUUUGGAGUGGCCGAUGCCUGAUUAGCUAGUUGGUGGGGUAAGGGCCUACCAAGGCGACGAUCAGUAGUUGGUCUGAGAGGACGACCAGCCACACUGGGACUGAGACACGGCCCAGACUCCUACGGGAGGCAGCAGUGGGGAAUUUUGGACAAUGGGCGAAAGCCUGAUCCAGCAAUGCCGCGUGAGUGAAGAAGGCCUUCGGGUUGUAAAGCUCUUUCAGUCGAGAAGAAAAGGUUGCGACUAAUAAUCGCAACUUAUGACGGUAUCGACAGAAGAAGCACCGGCUAACUACGUGCCAGCAGCCGCGGUAAUACGUAGGGUGCGAGCGUUAAUCGGAAUUACUGGGCGUAAAGGGUGCGCAGGCGGCUCUGUAAGUCAGAUGUGAAAUCCCCGGGCUUAACCUGGGAAUUGCGUUUGAAACUACAAGGCUAGA